UACAGAGGUCUCAAGCGUUGUUCGGAUUCAUUGGGCGUAAAGGGUGUGUAGGUGGCGCGCUAAGUCGGGUGUGAAAUUUCGGAGCUUAACUGCGAAGCUGCAUUCGAUACUGGCGUGCUUGAGGACUGGAGAGGAGACUGGAAUUCAUGGUGUAGCAGUGAAAUGCGUAGAGAUCAUGAGGAAGACCAGUGGCGAAGGCGGGUCUCUGGACAGUUCCUGACACUGAGACACGAAGGCCAGGGGAGCAAACGGG
rnacentral:rRNA from 1 species